UUAUGACCAUACCAAGUUGAAACACCAUAUCUCAUAUGAUCACCUAAGUUAAGUAACAUCAAGCUAUAUCAGUACCUAGAUGGGUGACCACUUAGGAAAGCCAGGCGCUGAA